AUGUUUUUUUCCAUGUUUCUUCUUAUUCGUACAACAAUAAAUCUUGUAGUAAAAGUGUUUACAAUAAAGUUCACCCACAAUUGGAAUAUUAUAAUUUCCUUAUAAUAAGCAUAUCAAUUUUUAUCAUUCUUUUUCAUAUUCUUAAAAUCCCUAUAAUUCUUAAUAUACCUCAUAUAAGUCACUUCUUAAUCUUAAAACAGUCUAUGUUUUCAUACUCUUAUUUAUUCUUUUUAAUUUCAUAUAUACACGAUGCUGAUUGCUGUAUUAUUAGUGCACCCUAAAACGAUGCCCUUGGUUAGGCAAGAUACUAAAUCCAGGGACGCAACAUACAAUCUAGUCAGAAUUCUAACAAAGCAAAAAGAAGGCAUUAGAAUUUGUCAUAUUAACGCACAGAGUAUUGUGAACAAAGUUGACGAAUUAAAGUACUUAUUUGAAAACUCAGGUACUGAACUAAACUCUGCCAUAUCAUAUACCUAAACUCUGCCAUAUCAUAUACCUUAUUCAAUUUAAAAGGCUAUUCUGUAUUAAGGUUAGACAGAGAAAUUCAUUACAAAGUCGGAAUGUGGUGAUGAAAUUGAACAUGUUUUUGUUGAGGUUAAGGCUAGUAAUACAAAGAUGUUAAGUGGUUGUAUAUAUCGACCUAAUAAUAAUAUUGAUUUUGCCUUACUCUUGGUUUUCAUGAAGUUAUUAUCACAGGGGAAUUUAAUUCAAAUUUACUCACUGAUACUACAUUGACAAACAAACAUUAGGCCUGUACGUAUCAAACAAUUUUCGUCCUAUUCACUUCUCCUCAAAUACUAAUACGCUUCUGGAUUUAUUUUUUAAAUAAUAACCAUAAUAAUCUGUUAUACGAUCAAAUUUCUGCGUCAUGUUUUUCUAAGCAUGACCUGAUAUUUCUUAUAUACAAAUUUAAUAUUUCGCCUCUUGAACAAGUUUAUUCAUUCCGUGAUUACAAUAGACUGGACCAUUUAGUUUUGGAAAAUAAAUGUCGCAUCCUUAAUUGGGAUGAAAUAUAUAAUUUCAUUUCCGUUGAUCAGAAAGCAAAAUUCCUGCAAUAAAACAUUCUGUUUCUUUAUAAUGAUAUGGUUCCACUAAAGGCUAAACGUAUUGAUAAUAGAAAUAAAACACUAUCAAAGCGUUUAUUGCUGAUAGAGACACAGCUUAUAAAAGAUGGAAACGGUAUAAAACUCCAGAACUAUAUGAGGAAUUCCGCUUAGACCGAAGGAGAGCAAGCAACCAUAUCAAUCUUGCCAAAACAGAAUAUUUUUCCACUAAAUUUAAUUCAGCAUUGGACUCCAAGAGUAAGUGGAAACUAAUUCACGAAAUCGGAGUUGGAAAGCCCAGCGUAUCUGCCUCUACUCACUGUGAUGAAAUGAUCUUAAUAAUAUAUCCUACUAUUCCAGCAGACCCUACUUUUUACAGUUCUACCAGUUCAACUAAAGAUACCUUAUCUGAUGAGGCAUCUUUUGAGUUCCGUUGUGUCACUAGCGAUGAAGUCGUAGCUAGCUUUGGUAGUGUUAAGUCUAGUGCCAUUGGUUAAGGUGGCAUUGAUCCAAAGUUUGUUCGUUUACUACUUCCUUUUCUUCUACCUUAUUUUACCCACUUAUUCAAUUCCAUUUUGACGACAAAUACUUUCCCCACUAUCUAGAAACAGGCAAAAGUUAUUCCAGUCCCGAAAUAUAACACGGAUUUCCAGCUCAUAGCUAUAUUACCUUUUGUAUCUAAAGUCUUUGAGAAACUCAUCCACAUCCAAAUGUCAGAACACCUUCAACAGAAUACAUGGCUUUCUCACGUGCAAUCAGUAUUCCGAUCUGAGCCCAGCUGUAUCACUGCGUUAGAAGAAGUCUCAGAGUCAAUCAGACGUGGUGUUGAAGAGAAUAAAGCUUGUUUCCAGACCAAACAAAAGCCUUUGACACUGUCGAUAACAUUAACCUUUGCAUCAAACUACGGCGUCUUUUCAAUUUUUCCAACACUUCCACUAAUCUUAUAAAAUCUUACUUGUCCAACCGCUCACAAUUGGUAUAUUCUGGAGGGUCCACUUCAACACCAUUGGCUAUAUGUAGGGCGCCCCUCAGCGCUCUAUAGUAGGUCCUCGUCAUCUCAGGAUAUGUAGGCAAAUGAUCUUCCCAGCCAAAUAAUCCACAACAGUGUGCACAUGUAUGCCGAUGAUGUACAAAUAUUCCUAAGCACCAAUGUGAAUCAUGCAAGACAAUCUGUUCAUAAUAUUGCUAUUAAUUUGCCCAACACUGUUGGUUGGGCAUUUACCGGCGGCCGCAUAAAUGGCAUCAUAACAAAAUGAUGUAAAUAAUGUAAAUACAUACACAUACAUUUAUGCAGCCACCGGUAAAUUCCAAUGCUGAAUUCUAAUAACUAAGCAUCGUCAACAGCCAAAACAGGUUUGAUGUGACGAUGCAAAUUUGGCAAUAAUCUGUUCUUUUUCAAUUACCGUCGCGAGCGCAAGUUUCCCCCCCGAGUGACAAGUGUCUGUGCAAAAAUAAAAGAAAAAAAAAACUAACAACAUUUAUAUAUUACAAAAACCAGUGAACAUUGAAAUACAACAAAAGGUAUCAAAAUUACAAAAAAAAAAACAGAAUAUUACAAAAUUAUCUAUGUUAAACAAAAGCUUUCUACAACAUACAAUAUACAACAAAAAGAAUAAUUGUGAAACUAAUUGCUAAAACUUACCUGCUAACUUAAAACUUAUAAUUAAGAUAAAACUUAAAACCUAUUGAAUUACAAACUAAAUAUAAUUAUCUAAAUAAAGCAAAUCUUAUGAACUAGUGAAAACUUAAAACUUUUUUAUAUCUAAAAUUGCACUACCCCAAAAUCCAAAUAAAAGAACUAAAAAUUAAAAGAAAAAUAUUUCUUAUAAUUUAAGAAGGCUCAAGGCAAAAAAGGUAAGCCUAAAAACAUUUGGUCCUCCAGAGCCGGAUCAAAAAGUGAAAGUUUUUUAAGUUAUUAAAAACAAAAAAAAAAAAAAGAACAAUUUGUGAGUGGACGGACAAACAAAAGAACAGUGAGAAAAAAGAACAGUGAAAAAUAACAGUGGGUGUAAAAAAUAAGUGCAAAGAAAAAAAAAUUAAAUUUAAAAAAAAAAGAAGAAAAAUGAGAAAAAAAUAAAUAAUUAAUAAAAAAUAGACUUUGCACAGUGCAACAAAAGUGAAGCUACACAGUGCUACAAAAAUAAAAUUUUUAAAAUUGUAGAAAAAUUAAUUUUUUCUUCAAUUUUAAAAAAAAUAUACAAUUUACAAAAAAAAUUACAACAAAAGAGACUAUACACAGUGAUACACGAAAGACAAUAUACAGUGACACAAAAAACAACCACAACAAGGAGAAUUUUGGAGCCAGCAGUAGGACGGACACACGCAGCACAACAACAACAACAACAACAACCGAGACCCAAAACCCAAGAUCAAAAUAUGGCCGCUUACUUGCCCAACCAGGACUGCCGUCUGGACGAUCGCAACCGUAGCCCAGACUCACCUGCCCGUCCCACAGCAAGAAGCGCCAAUCGACCCAUACGGCCCAUCCAUCGACCCAGUUCCACAUCCCCUGAAAGGCGACAGAGAAGUCGAUCCGACGUAAGACCCCGCCAACGCCAAGAAAGACCUAGCUACUGGCAAUACUCAUGUGGACUAUGCCAAGAAGACCAUGCCCUCAGUGCCUGUGAGAGGUUCCGCCGGCAGACGCCCUUCCAGCGAUAUGAGACCGUGGAGCGUCGGGGGUAUUGCCGAAAUUGCCUGGCGAGAAGUCAUUUGGCCCCCGACUGCCCGUCUUUAACUGGUUGCCGGAGAUGCAACGACCGGCACCAUACCCUAUUGCACGGGGCGUCUCAAUUGGAGGAGGUAUCCCUAAAUAUAGAAGCCGUCACCACCCCAGCUUUCGCGUGGGACGCAUAACGGCCGAGGGUAUGGAGGGUUUCAGCAUGUUGCGGGCCAUAGUUAGCCAAUCGGCGACGAUGUCCAAGAUCUCAUAUGCAGCUUUCCGUCGCCUGGGUCUGCAGUCGCGGAGCUACAAAGGGGAGCGAUUCACAACCUUCACAGUUUCGCCCCGCCGCACGAACAGUACUUGGAGUCUGAAGGUAAAUGCCGUAAUUAUCGAAGAUCUCCCAAGACGCAUUUACUCGGACCCAAUACUUGAAGACCCCACUAGAUGCUUCACGAGCUACGCCUUAGCUGACCCUGAUCCCAGAGGAAAUAGUCCGAUCGAUGUGGAACUGGGAGCGGACACGUACUCCGCCAUAAGGAAAGAUGGGUGUACAGCAGCUGGAAUUGGAGAUGUCCUGGCCUACAACACACAACUGGGCUACGUGUUUGCUGGGCCAAUCAAGAACAUGCCGAGGAACUGAAGACCGAAGAUCCUUAUGGUAUAUUAGAAAUGAAUACUUACACUUGUCAUUCGGGGCCCAGAAAAUGUUCAUAAUAUUGCUAUUAAUUUGCCCAACACUGUUGGUUGGGCAUUUACCGGCGGCCGCAUAAAUGGCAUCAUAACAAAAUGAUGUAAAUAAUGUAAAUACAUACACAUACACACAUACAUUUAUGCAGCCACCGGUAAAUUCCAAUGCUGAAUUCUAAUAACUAAGCAUCGUCAACAGCCAAAACAGGUUUGAUGUGACGAUGCAAAUUUGGCAAUAAUCUGUUCUUUUUCAAUUACCGUCGCGAGCGCAAGUUUCCCCCCCGAGUGACAAGUGUCUGUGCAAAAAUAAAAGGAAAAAAAAACUAACAACAUUUAUAUAUUACAAAAACCAGUGAACAUUGAAAUACAACAAAAGGUAUCAAAAUUACAAAAAAAAAACAGAAUAUUACAAAAUUAUCUAUGUUAAACAAAAGCUUUCUACAACAUACAAUAUACAACAAAAAGAAUAAUUGUGAAACUAAUUGCUAAAACUUACCUGCUAACUUAAAACUUAUAAUUAAGAUAAAACUUAAAACCUAUUGAAUUACAAACUAAAUAUAAUUAUCUAAAUAAAGCAAAUCUUAUGAACUAGUGAAAACUUAAAACUAUUUUAUAUCUAAAAUUGCACUACCCCAAAAUCCAAAUAAAAGAACUAAAAAUUAAAAGAAAAA